rnacentral:rRNA from 1 species
UGGGGAAUAUUGCACAAUGGGCGAAAGCCUGAUGCAGCGACGCCGCGUGAGGGAUGACGGCCUUCGGGUUGUAAACCUCUUUCAGCAGGGACGAAGCGCAAGUGACGGUACCUGCAGAAGAAGCACCGGCUAACUACGUGCCAGCAGCCGCGGUAAUACGUAGGGUGCAAGCGUUGUCCGGAAUUACUGGGCGUAAAGAGUUCGUAGGCGGUUUGUCGCGUCGUUUGUGAAAACCAGCAGCUCAACUGCUGGCUUGCAGGCGAUACGGGCAGACUUGAGUACUGCAGGGGAGACUGGAAUUCCUGGUGUAGCGGUGAAAUGCGCAGAUAUCAGGAGGAACACCGGUGGCGAAGGCGGGUCUCUGGGCAGUAACUGACGCGGAGGAACGAAAGCGUGGGUAGCGAACAGG